rnacentral:rRNA from 1 species
GAUGAACGCUGGCGGCGUGCCUAAUACAUGCAAGUCGAGCGAAUGGAUUAAGAGCUUGCUCUUAUGAAGUUAGCGGCGGACGGGUGAGUAACACGUGGGUAACCUGCCCAUAAGACUGGGAUAACUCCGGGAAACCGGGGCUAAUACCGGAUAACAUUUUGAACCGCAUGGUUCGAAAUUGAAAGGCGGCUUCGGCUGUCACUUAUGGAUGGACCCGCGUCGCAUUAGCUAGUUGGUGAGGUAACGGCUCACCAAGGCAACGAUGCGUAGCCGACCUUGGAGGGGGAUCGGCCAAACUGGGACUGAGACACGGCCCAGACUCCGACGGGAGGCAGCAGUAGGGAAUCUUCCGCAAUGGACGAAAGUCUGACGGAGCAACGCCGCGUGAGUGAUGAAGGCUUUCGGGUCGUAAAACUCUGUUGUUAGGGAAGAACAAGUGCUAGUUGAAUAAGCUGGCACCUUGACGGUACCUAACCAGAAAGCCACGGCUAACUACGUGCCAGCCGCCGCGGUAA